AUGGGGAUGCCAAACAUGAGGUACGCCCCAGAGCUGAACGUCAGUCCUAAUGCCAGGCUGACUAUGUUCCUCGAGGGUGUUCUCGUGGCCCUGGAGCGAUUCCGCUCCAACAGGGUGGCCUCUCUAGCCGAUGAGGCCCAGAGGCUUUGCCGAGGUGCCAUGACCAAGGUCCUCACCAAGGUGGCGUACUGGAACCCUGAACUCGACUUCGAAGCUGCGCUGGAUAGCUUGCCGGAGGGUGUGGAUCCUGUGACGCUCGAGGAGCGUAUCGAGCCCGUCAUCAGCCGCAUCGACGGAGUUCAGAGGAUAGAAGGCCAGCGUCUGGACUAG
rnacentral:rRNA from 1 species